GACGAACGCUGGCGGCGCGCCUAACACAUGCAAGUCGAACGAGCGGAGAACUUCGGUUCAAAGCUAGUGGCGGACGGGUGAGUAACACGUGAGGAACCUGCCUCUCAGAGUGGGAUACCGUUUGGAAACGAACGUUAAUACCGCAUAAUGUAUCUUGAUCGCAUGGUCUUGAUACCAAAGGAUUUUAUCGCUGAGAGAUGGCCUCGCGUCUGAUUAGCUAGUUGGUGGGGUAACGGCCUACCAAGGCGACGAUCAGUAGCCGACCUGAGAGGGUGACCGGCCACAUUGGGACUGAGAUACGGCCCAGACUCCUACGGGAGGCAGCAGUGGGGAAUAUUGGGCAAUGGGCGAAAGCCUUGACCCAGCGACGCCGCGU
rnacentral:rRNA from 1 species